rnacentral:rRNA from 1 species
AUACGGAGGGUGCAAGCGUUAAUCGGAAUUACUGGGCGUAAAGAGUACGUAGGUGGUUUAUUAAGUCAGAUGUGAAAGUCCCGGGCUUAACCUGGGAACUGCAUUUGAUACUGGCAAACUAGAGUAUGGUAGAGGCGGGUAGAAUUCCUAGUGUAGCGGUGAAAUGCGUAGAUAUUAGGAGGAAUACCAGUGGCGAAGGCGGCCCGCUGGACCAAUACUGACACUGAGGUACGAAAGCGUGGGUAGCGAACAGGAUUAGAUACCCGGGUAGUCC